UAAAGAUAUGGACCAAAAGGGCAAAAGUUUCAUCCAUUUGACUUGGGAUUGACAUACGGCAGGUUUGAUGAAUGGAUGAAGUGUAAGGCUCACCACAGGGAAUAUCAUUAUUCCAGAUAUCUCCCUUCACCCUUCCUGGAGGGAUAAGAGGAGGGGUGGUCUCAUGGUUAUCUUCUCCCUCAGACAUACAUCCCCCCAGGGAAAGCUUCCUCAUAUUCCGAGGAACAGGAUGUGUCAGUGCCUCCAAAACGAUCCCAGAGACAGCAACAGGAAGAGACGGAAAGUGCAGAGUCAUGAGCAUAAAAACAAACCGAGCAAAUGGAAUGAUACAUGACAUAAGCUUCUGCCAUCAAUACACAGCUGCAUCUGGAAAAUAACACACCAUAUCUUUCAACACUUUCAAGGUUCUAAGUGAUACACGAAGAACCAUAUUAUUCAAUACUUGUGGUCUACAUUCCAAAACACAUCUGAAAUAUGUCUGUUGGGUUGGAAUUCAAUCGGUUGAAGCACAUUGCUAACACCCAGAUAGAUGCAAAGAACUUGGGAACCACCCAGCCACCAGGAAAAUCAUCUUGUUCUUGGAGUUUAUUCACAAAGUUAGAUACUAAUAGAUCCACACAUGCUAUUCUCUAUCAUGCAGAAUUGUAGCUAAGCAUGUAUCGUGGGAAGCUCAUUCAAUAAUUCUGUCACAGGGGACUAAACUGUGUACGUUUUUGUUCAAUUUAGACCACAAUUAGUUGAAUGAGGUGUUAGUGAAGUGCUGGAAUAAAAACAUGUACACUCCUGUGUAAAGAACCUACAGCUGUUGUCAUGACUAUCCCUUGAGGAUCCAAACAGGUCAGAUCAGCUUUGCAAUAAAUAACUUCAACCAGACACCCUCUCACCCACAGAGGGGGAGAAAGAGGGAACUGGUGGGGGUUAACACCUCACGCCCUGUUGUAAAUCAAGGACAGAACAUUCAGACAUCCCUCUCCAAAUUCACCCAAGGAAUGUGCUUUGUUUUAAGAUGACUUUUCCCACUGAAACUCUAACACAUUCAAAAGGAACUUUUGGAACAAUAUUUCUAACAUGGAACGUGGGGAAUGGGCAGAAGUGACCUAAAAGAACACUAAUGUCGUUUUGGUUGUUCUUUUAAGAUGACAUUAAAAAUGUUAUAACGGAAAUACUGUAACUUGAAAAAUAUAAACACCACAUGUACAAAGUUUCCAUCCUCUGCAUUGUACAUACUAUAUGAAAAAUGAUGAAAGUGUUUUUGUUAAGAGAGGGAUGUGAUUUUAGAAACUAUAAAAUUGGAAAUUGUUUCUAUAACUGUGCACAGUAAGUAGUCACCACCCAUUUGAGUGAGGUCAGAGAGCAUGUGAGCCUGAUGGAAUUGCCCCUUUUGAACUGUAUAAAAUGAUGGGUUGAGAAUGAACAUAUUAGACCAGAGAGAUGUAGAGCUACAGCUCAUGUUUAAAGUGGUUUGAACUCUGAAUCUCAACACGAGGUAGAGACGAUAUAGUCACCUCCCGGACAAUCACUGUUAUGGCUGAUUAGCUGUCG
rnacentral:lncRNA from 8 species